GGGUGUUGUGGGUGAUUUAAAACCACGAGGCGGUCCGGGGCCAGGCGACAAGAAUUCCCUCUGCCUGGAUGUUUGGAAACUCUCUGCCAACUUGAUUGGUGGAUCUGGGGGGAUCCACCCCCACCCCACAAGGAAAGGACAGUCCAUUUUGUGGGUGGGGCUUCAGGUGCCAGCCAGCUGAAGGAUGGCCACUCCUGUGGUCACCAAGACGGCCUGGAAGUUGCAGGAGAUCGUCGCGCACGCCGGCAAUGUGUCCUCGCUGGUGCUGGGCAAAGCCUCCGGGCGGCUGCUGGCCACGGGCGGGGAUGACUGCCGUGCCAACCUGUGGUCCAUCAGCAAGCCCAACUGCAUCAUGAGCCUGACGGGUCACACGUCCCCAGUGGAGAGUGUCCGCCUCAAUACCCCCGAGGAGCUCAUCGUGGACGGCUCCCAGUCGGGCUCCAGCCGCGUCUGGGACCUGGAAGCUGCCAAAAUUCUUCGCACACUCAUGGGACACAAAGCCAACGUCUGCAGCCUGGAUUUCCACCCAUAUGGCGAGUUUGUGGCCUCUGGUUCCCAGGACACGAACAUCAAGCUCUGGGACAUCAGGAGGAAAGGCUGCGUCUUCCGCUACAAAGGCCACAGCCAGGCCGUGCGCUGCCUCCGGUUAAGCCCCGAUGGGAAGUGGUUGGCAUCGGCUGCAGACGACCACACGGUGAAGCUCUGGGAUCUCACUGCCGGCAAGAUGAUGUCCGAGUUCCCUGGUCACACGGGGCCUGUGAACGUGGUGGAAUUUCACCCCAACGAGUACCUCCUGGCUUCUGGCAGCUCUGACAGGACGAUCCGUUUCUGGGACCUGGAGAAAUUCCAGGUGGUGAGCUGCAUGGAAGGGGAGCCGGGGCCUGUCAGGAGCGUCCUCUUCAACCCCGACGGCUGCUGCCUGUACAGCGGCUGCCAGGACUCCCUGCGCGUCUACGGCUGGGAGCCCGAGCGCUGCUUCGAUGUGGUCCUCGUCAACUGGGGCAAGGUGGCUGACCUGGCCAUCUGCAAUGACCAGCUGAUAGGCGUGGCCUUCUCCCAGAGCAACGUCUUCUCUUCCGUGGUGGAUCUGACGCAGGUCACCAGGACAAGCACGGUGGCCCAGGAUUCCGUGCAGGACAGCCGGCCCCUGCCAGGGGCCGGCUGA